UACCGGCUCUCCGAGUGGUAGGGAUGAUUAUUGGGCUUAAAGCGUCCGUAGCCGGCUUAGCAAGUCUCCUGUUAAAUUCAGCGACCUAAUCGUUGAGCCGCGGGAGAUACUACUAGGCUAGGAGGCGGGAGAGGUCGACGGUACUUCCGGGGUAGGGGUGAAAUCCUAUAAUCCCGGGAGGACCACCAGUGGCGAAGGCUGUCGACUAGAACGCGCUCGACGGUGAGGGACGAAAGCUGGGGGAGCGAACCGGAUUAGAUACCCGGGUAGUCCCAGCUGUAAACGAUGCGGGCUAGGUGUUGGGGUGGCUACGGGCCACUUCAGUGCCGCAGGGAAACCAUUAAGCCCGCCGCCUGGGGAGUACGGCCGCAAGGCUGAAACUUAAAGGAAUUGGCGGGGAGCACCACAAGGCGUGAAGCUUGCGGUUC
rnacentral:rRNA from 1 species